CCUACGGGAGGCAGCAGUGAGGAAUAUUGGUCAAUGGCCGGAAGGCUGAACCAGCCAUGCCGCGUGAAGGUCAGUGCCCUAUGGGCGUUAAACUUCUUUUGUGCGGGAGCAAUAAUGGUCACGUGUGGCCAGACGAGAGUACCGUACGAAUAAGCAUCGGCUAACUCCGUGACAGCAGCCGCGGUAAUACGGGGGAUGCAAGCGUUAUCCGGAUUUAUUGGGUUUAAAGGGUGCGUAGGCUGUGAGGUAAGUCAGCGGUGAAAUGCCCCCGCUCAACGGGGUGAAGUGCCAUUGAUACUGCCUGGCUGGAAUGCGGAUGCGGUGGGAGGAAUGUGUGGUGUAGCGGUGAAAUGCAUAGAUAUCACACAGAACACCGAUUGCGAAGGCAUCUCACGAAUCCGCGAUUGACGCUGAUGCACGAAAGCGUGGGUAUCAAACAGGAUUAGAUACCCUGGUAGUC
rnacentral:rRNA from 1 species